rnacentral:rRNA from 1 species
GUUUGAUCCUGGCUCAGAACGAACGCUGGCGGCAUGCCUAACACAUGCAAGUCGAACGAUGCCUUCGGGCAUAGUGGCGCACGGGUGCGUAACGCGUGGGAANCUGCCUCUUGCUUCGGAAUAACAGUUAGAAAUGACUGCUAAUACCGGAUGAUGUCUUCGGACCAAAGAUUUAUCGGCAAGAGAUGAGCCCGCGUAGGGUUAGGUAGUUGGUGGGGUAAAGGCCUACCAAGCCGACGAUCCUUAGCUGGUCUGAGAGGAUGAUCAGCCACACUGGGACUGAGACACGGCCCAGACUCCUACGGGAGGCAGCAGUGGGGAAUAUUGGACAAUGGGGGAAACCCUGAUCCAGCAAUGCCGCGUGAGUGAUGAAGGCCUUAGGGUUGUAAAGCUCUUUUACCNGGGAUGAUAAUGACNGUACCUGGAGAAUAAGCNCCGGCUAACNCCGUGCCAGCAGCCGCGGUAAUAAGG